AUUGAACGCUGGCGGCAUGCCUUACACAUGCAAGUCGAACGGCAGCACGGGUGCUUGCACCUGGUGGCGAGUGGCGGACGGGUGAGUAAUACAUCGGAACGUACCUUAUCGUGGGGGAUAACGCAGCGAAAGCUGUGCUAAUACCGCAUACGCCCUGAGGGGGAAAGCGGGGGAUCGCAAGACCUCGCGCGAUUAGAGCGGCCGAUGCCUGAUUAGCUUGUUGGUGGGGUAAAAGCCCACCAAGGCGACGAUCAGUAGCUGGUCUGAGAGGACGAUCAGCCACACUGGGACUGAGACACGGCCCAGACUCCUACGGGAGGCAGCAGUGGGGAAUUUUGGAUAAUGGGGGCAACCCUGAUCCAGCAAUGCCGCGUGAGUGAAGAAGGCCUUCGGGUUGUAAAGCUCUUUUGUCAGGGAAGAAACACCGGCUCUAACACAGUCCGGGAAUGACGGUACCUGAAGAAUAAGCACCGGCUAACUACGUGCCAGCCGCCGCCGUAA
rnacentral:rRNA from 1 species